rnacentral:rRNA from 1 species
GCAAGAUUAAAACUCAAAGGAAUAGACGGGGACCCGCACAAGCGGGGGGAGCAUGUGGUUUAUUUCGACGAUACGCGAAGAACCUUACCUGGCCUUGACAUAGACAGAAUUUCCCAGAGACGGAGAAGUGCUAGUUUACUAGAACUGUCAUACAGGUGCUGCACGCCGGUCGUCAGCUCGUGUCGUGAGAUGUUGGGUUAAGUCCCGCAACGAGCGCAACCCUCGUGUUUAGUUACUAACAGUUCGGCUGAGGACUCUAAACAGACUGCCUGGGUAACCAGGAGGAAGGUGAGGACGACGUCAAGUCAUCAUGGCCCUUACGGCCAGGGCUACACACGUGCUACAAUGGGGUAUACAAAGAGCUGCAAUACGGUGACGUGGAGCAAAUCUCAUAAAAUAUCUCCCAGUUCGGAUUGAAGUCUGCAACUCGACUUCAUGAAGUUGGAAUCGCUAGUAAUCGUAGAUCAGCAAUGCUACGGUGAAUACGUUCCCGGGUCUUGUACUCACCGCCCGUCACACCAUGGGAAUUGAAUUCAUUCGAAGCGGGGAUGCUAAAAUAGCUACCUUCCACAGUGGAUUUAGUAACUAGGGUGAAGUCGUAACAAGGUA